GGCCUAACAAGGCAGAGGGGAAACAAUGAUCUUAAAGGCUGUGCUCCCAGGAUCAGGCUAUCCCAUUGCACUCCAGGUGCGCUGACUCCUGCAAUGUCCCCAAAUGCGGGAUACUCAACUGCAAAAUUUGUGGUAGUGGUGGACUGCAUUCGCGCUUCCCCCCC